rnacentral:rRNA from 1 species
AACGAACGCUGGCGGCAGGCUUAACACAUGCAAGUCGAACGCCCCGCAAGGGGAGUGGCAGACGGGUGAGUAACGCGUGGGAAUCUACCCAUCCCUACGGAACAACUCCGGGAAACUGGAGCUAAUACCGUAUACGCCCUACGGGGGAAAGAUUUAUCGGGGAUGGAUGCGCCCGCGUUGGAUUAGCUAGUUGGUGGGGUAAAGGCCUACCAAGGCGACGAUCCAUAGCUGGUCUGAGAGGAUGAGCAGCCACAUUGGGACUGAGACACGGACCAACUGUCUACGGGGGGCACCAGUGGGGAAUAGUGGACAGUGGGCGUAAGCCUGAGCCAGCCAUGCGGCGUGAGUGAUGAAUGACUUAGGAUUGUAAAGCUCUUUCACCGGUGAAGAUAAUGACUGUAGCCGGAGAAGAAGCCCCGGCUAACUUCGUGCCAGCAGCCGCCGUAAAAC